ACAGCUGCCACAUUUUCAACCAGUAAAACUCACAAUUUUAGCUAAGCACAAUCUGUUCAGUAACACUUACGAGGGUUUCACACAUGCCAAUAAUUGGGCAUUUCCGUUCCCUUGCGAUAAAAGUUGAUAGCUGAUCAUCAAUGUAUUUCUUCUACAGCUACUUUAACUACUUUGUGUUUUGCAGUGGUCUGGAUUCCGUGUGCCACCAUGCUGCCUCUCACAAGCCAAUCCUGGCACUGCGCUAGAUAAAGUUAUGUGCGUGGUGUGCUGUCUUGGUCAUCUGGAAGAUACCACACAUGCUAAAAUCAGGAAAGCGCAACUUACUGGCCAUCAACCUCCCCCCCAAAAUAAGCAACAAGGGGUGCGAAUUUCACAGAGCAACGCUUCCUGUUGGACAUGCCCGAUGACAGGAUGUUCUCAGACCGUCUUUCAUGCGCGUCCAGCGGAAGUGGAGACAGGUCACGAGGGGGGAGACGCGCGGCAGCAACGCUGUGAAAUGCUUCACUUCAAUGCCCACUGUCCUUGCGCUCCCAUGCUGUGCAAACGCACACAUACAAUGGGAGGCCGGACCCCCGUGUCAUUGCCGAUCCGCCCCGUCGUCCCCGCGGCUCCUCCGAGACCGCCUGGGAAAGUGAGGAACACGCAGGAUGGAGGAAGCAAUGAAACGCACGCCUGACGUUGGGCCGUCACUCACGCCCAUAGGAAAGUAAAGUUCAUUCCGGCUAAUGACAUACAAUGCAGCGCGUCAUUUGUCAUCAUCAUCAUGGCACUCAGUCACUGAGGUGUUGGGCUUGCACCCCCUAACAAGUUUUUCCAAGACAAAAUCCGCCGCUAAACUCAUUAUUCUUGUCAGGAGUUGUGAGCUAAAAUGGGAGUUAGCAAGUCGACAAGAUCGCCAAUUCAGAAGGCAAAACGCCAUAGAUGGGCUAAUCAAACUGCACCA